CGUGUAGGCGGUGCGGUAAGUUGGGCGUGAAAUCCCCGAGCUUAACUCGGGUGGGCCGUUCAAGACUGCCGUGCUAGGGUGCGGGAGAGGGAAGUGGAAUUUCCGGUGUAGCGGUGAAAUGCGUAGAUAUCGGGAGGAACACCCGCGGCGAAGGCGGCUUCCUGGACCGUAACCGACGCUGAGGCGCGAAAGCUGGGGGAGCGAACGGGAUUAGAUACCCCGGUAGUCCCAGCCGUAAACGGUGAACACUAGGUGUGGGGAGUAUCGACCCUCUCCGUGCCGCAGCUAACGCAUUAAGUGUUCCGCCUGGGGAGUACGGUCGCAAGGCUGAA
rnacentral:rRNA from 1 species